CCCAGCUCCUCCUCCCCCGACUCCGCUCUGCAGCUUGUGCUUCAGACCGUGAGCCUCUCUAGCCACUCCGGUGCUCCAGCUACCUGGCAGCCGGCUCCUGCACACGUGGCUGACAGAUGGCUCUACAGCAGCUGCAAGUCAAAAGGUCUUUCGGGCCCAAGGGCAAGAGCCGAAAUGAUCAAAAAAAGCAAGAGAGCCCACUGGUCCGAACAGGGGAUGUAAACAUCAGACAUAUGGUGGAAUAGAACAUGCUCUCCUUUCAAGGCUCAUCAGCAAAAUCGGCCCUGCCGGUGUGAUAGAUUUUAAUGGUGCUGCACCAUUAAUCAUACAAGGUCCACCUGAUUACGAAAGAGAAAAAGUUCACUUCUAUAACAAUCGCCAGUAAUAACAAGCCAUUAGACCCCGUAAAGUGAGUUGAAAUCCUUUUUAAUUGAUUAACAGAUUAAUAAAUGUUUCAAUGGAGUUUUCCUCAUGUAGCAACAUGCGGCAAUUAGCGUCUGGAAUGUAAUUAAUGAAGGGAUAAUAAACAAUGGAGCACUUUCAUUAUCCUUACCCAAUUAUGAUGUGAUUACAGCUCUAAGCUGCCAGUGAUAUGCUGUGACUAACCAAACCAAAGUGAUUAGAGCAUGAAAUACCCCUGCUGUCCAUGUGGAUGCGUCGAUGCAAUCGUGGCGGAGAUCGCAGCACCACGUGUGAAAUACUUGCAUCAGUCUACGAAUCCUGCUGUUCUCGGCUGUUUGGG
ensembl:lncRNA